rnacentral:lncRNA from 1 species
UCCCACGUGCGCUUAAAAUGACGCAAACAAAACCAAAGCGCCUGGGUACAAGGCAGGUCUGACAUUUUGGGGCUCGGGGGCCUCCAACCCCUUUCGGCGGCCCUGAUUAUAAACUAUUGCUUUGAACUGAUUUAUACUGUACAGAUCGUGUAAAUAUUUUACAAGGAAUCAAAUUUCAAAAACCCAGUGGUUCCUAGUAGGCUCCUAGACCUUUAUGUUCAGUAAAGACCUAGCUAUAUGAUCGAAGCUUAUGAUUGGCUAAUUGCCUUCCAAGGUAGUGAAGGUAGUGACCAAUCGUAUUGCAAUAAUGAGUUGUCCCCAUUCUCCAGGCGACAACAAAUGCAGCGCGGCGAGGAACACAUGCAGAAAGCACGCAGAAAAAAUUGAGAAGUU